GUAUCCCUAAUAAGCUUCCCGCUGUACGUAUUCAAUGUGGCCGCAAUGCUCCUUACAAAACCUGCAUCCCUGGACAUAGACCCGGAAAGCCUAUUGUGUGCCCCGAUCCUUCCAGGACUAAUUGCCAUCAUGGUGCACCUUGAAUGGAGGAAAACUAUGGAUUUAUUAGCAAACAAUGUAAUGAAAAUAGCUAAUAAGUUGCCAACUGCUGUGUCGUUGGUUUAGAAACAUGAAAUUUAAGUUGCCCAUCAUUUGUAUCAUGAAUUCUACUUUGUCUACAACGUAAUGCAUUUUUAUAGGUAUGUUAUAAAUAAAAAGCUAGUGACUACUUCGACUUUGUUAUAAAGUGAUAAGAGUAAGAUGAGAUUUGAAUAUAAAUCUUGAUUUACAGUCAUAACACUUAAAUUAGCUAGUUUAAACUAGUUGAUAGACUAUCCUCUAGAUCCAAUACAUUUAGGUAAGAUUGUUAUCAAUAUAAGGCUCACUAAAGCCUGCAGAUUUUAUGAGGAAGAUGAAAUUAAGUAAGCGGAGAUAACAUGUAUACACCUUCCUGUACAAUACUAUUGAGAAAUUCAUUUUUAAAAACAUCUUAAACUUUUUAGAUUUUAGUUCGAGAUAUUAUUCUUUAAUAAAAAUUAGAUAAUAAAUUUAGAUGAGUGAUUUAAACUCAUUGAUUCUUAAAAAGUGUCAACUAGACUUGAUUCAAUCAAUGAACAACUCUACUUGCAAUGUUCCAAAACUACAGCUUCAAUGAGUUCAUUAAAAACUGCCACAUCUACACAUCCUUGAGAAAGCAUUAUUGCACCAGAUUUUUUUUUUUAUAAUUGAGAGAGGGGAGAAUUGAACCAUACUCUUUAGAUAAGGGAUCAUACAUCAACCAAUGAAUCAAAUGUUCGGAUGCUAUUGUACCAGAUUAAUUACUUAAUUAAUCAUAAAUUAAGCAACCAAACACAGCUUAAUUACCACGCCUUGCCCUUUAACUUGAUAUCAAACAAACAUCUUCUUCCCAAAUUUGAAAGGAUAUACUAAUUACAUAUAGAUAUAGCAAAGACAUCCAUUUAAUUUGUGUGAAGGAGAGGGACUAAGGGCAUCACUUUCUUUCCAAAGAGAGAUCACUCUUCGUCUGACUCCACAACCUCAUCAUCUUCUUUCCUUUUCACUGGUUUCGUCUCAAUUAGAUGACUUUGAAACAGUCAAGAAGAAAAAAAAAGUGUUAGUGACUGUGACCUUUGACUACAUCUUGAACUUGGGGUCCAUAUGUUUCUAUAUAUCUUCCAUUGAGAAAAAUUUUAUAGUACAUAAUAACCAAAGUUUAAUUUGGAAAUUCUGGUGCAUGUUGUUUGAAGGAUCUUUUCAUACUUCUAGUUACAAUUUGAUUAAUAAAUUUGUUGAUAAAUAUAUAUAUAUAUAUAUAUAUAUAUAUACAUAUAUGUGCGUGUAUUUAUAUAUAUAUCUCAAAAAAAAUAUUUUGAAUUUUCUUGUUCUAUUAAGUCUCUUUGAAAAGCUUUAUAGUUUUUCCAAGCGAGAGACUACAUAAGGAAAGAGACAAAAAAGAAUAAUUCGUGGAAAAUUGGUCCCAAAAAUUAAUGCACAGUGCCCUGGAAGUUUCAUGGGUUCUUCCCCUUCGUCAAUGCAGCAAUCUUUGAAAAGUAAGUAAGAUUAGACUUGAAUAGGCCUAUAAAUAACAGUAGAGAGAGAGAGAGAGGGGAUGCUUAACUCAACCGACCUGGUGAUUACUCCAAAAUGAAAGCAAUAUUUCUCAUAGUAUGCAUUCUCUUUGCUUCCUCUUUCUUUAUUCCCACUUCCACCAUGGCUCGACAACUAGUCGAGAAAGGUAAGGCAUAUUUUAGUUUUAGUAUUUCCAAUCAUUUUAAAUAACUUACAGACAUUUGAUUGCUUUACAUGAAGAGUUUCUUAACUUAAAUAGAGAUUGAUAAUAUAUGUAUAUAUAUAUAUAUAUAUAUAUAUAUAUACUUGCAAUUCAUUUUACGUAAAAAUUUUAUAAUUUUAGUUUUUCAUCCAUGUAAAAAUUCAUCAAAUUCAAAACAAAAAAUUAAAGACAAUUUCAUUUUUACUCCAUCUGUUAAUUUUAUUUAAUUUUUAAUAGGAAAAAGAUUUUUUUUCCUUUUUUUAGCUGAGUUAAUAUCUUUGUUGCCUUAGCUAAGUACUUUGGUUUUAUGUCUGUUAAUUCCGCAGGUAUCCCUAAUAAGCUUCCAGCUGUACGUAAUCAAUGCGGCCGCAAUCCUAUUUUCAAAAACUGCAGCCCUAUAAAUAGACCCGGAAAGCCUAUUGUGUGCCCUGAUCCUGCCCUGACUGUUUGCCAUCCUCCUGGACCUUGAAUGGAGGAAAACUAUGGAUUUAUUAGCAAACAAUGUAAAGAAAAUAGCUAAUAAGUUGCCAGCUACUGUAUCGUUGGUAUAGGAAUAGGAAAUUUAAGUUGCCCAUCAUUUGUAUCAUGAAUUCUACUUUGUC
rnacentral:lncRNA from 1 species